rnacentral:lncRNA from 1 species
CUAUUCACAGGCUCUCUCCUUCCACAUCUCUCCCUCUCUGUGACACAGAAGAGAACCAAUGAGGAUGGCACGGCAGAGCCUAGGGCAACCCUAAGUAUCCUUCUAGCUGUUACAUGUCCCAGGCUUGCCCUUUACAUCUGGGGCCACAUUGUAUACAGAUGACUACAUGCUGCACUGCAUUGAUUUACUCAAUGUACUGCUCUUUUAGAUGGCCUCCUGAAUUUCAAACAAGGGAAGAACAGCAAGAUGGAAGAAUUCUCCAGUUUCUGUACUCUGCAGGAUUUCUGAAGUUCUACCUUAAAGUUCUACCUGGCUUUUGGGAACCUGUUCUCCAUGCUGGAUUACUUUCACCAACCUUGAUGCAGGGAGAGGAGCUUGGUCCUGCCUUUAACUUGAUAUGCCAUGCUUUGUUCAAGCCCAAUCGGACGCCUGCUUCUUUCUGAAUAGAGACUGAGAAGUGGAUGGGAGACAGGUAUAUUGGUACUGGGGGUGGGGGGCAAAAGGAAAGGAGGGAAGGGAAACUUGUCAGUAUGUAAAAAAAAAAAUGAAAAACUGUUAAUAAGACUAAAUUUAUCGCCGGGCAUUGGUGGCGCAUGCCUUUAAUCCCAGCUCUCAGGAGGCAGAGGCAAAUGGAUCUCUAUGAGUUCAAGGCCAGCCUGGUCUCCAGAGAGAGUGCCAGGAUAGGCUCCAAAAGCUACACAGAGAAAUCCUGUCUCGAAAAACAAUCAAACAAAAAAGAUUAAAUUUAUCUUAAAAGAAGUUCCUGGAUAUGUUGGAUAUUAGUUACCUGAACAACUUGUGGAAUUUUUCCAUUGUGAAAAUUGUCUCUUUUUGCUGUUUGUUUCAUGGAAUUGAUGCAUCAUAGUUUGAAACAAUUUCUUUUGUCUAUUUCUACUUUUGUUUCCUGUACUUUGGAGGUCUUAGAAAAAAAUCGGUUGCCUAUAAUGAUAUUUUGAAUUAUUCUGCACCUUAAACGUCUGGGUGUGAACGCAAGAAUGCUCACUGAUUUCUGUGUUUAGGAUCACAGUGACCAGCAUGCCUUUCCACAGUUGUUCAGAGUGUCUCUUCCGGAGAGACACAUGGAGAAUCCUAUACUGACUAACGCGUUCUCAGGCAAACAUUGUUUGAGAAGCUUUAACUUUCUGGCAUGGUUUAUAUACAGAUCCUUUCAUGUUACACUUGUCAGUCUCAACCCCUGGGCGUAAACCCAUGAAAACUGAAGAGUAAUUUUAAAUGUGUAUUCUCCUAGCACACAGUGUGUCCACUAAGAACUAUAUAAUCACAACCAUAUACUAAAACUGACUGUUCACAGCUUCCCUCUCUUAUAGAGAGAACAGUUUUAUUCUCUUAGUUCUCACCACCACAACUUAUUGAAAAAAAAUAAUCAAAGCAAUGCUUAUAAACAAAUCAAAGCAAUGUUUAUAAAACUCAGACUUUUAAAGAAUUUUUAAUUCAAUGUUUGCCUUUGAAACUCAUUAAUUUUUCUAUGGUAUUUCAAUGUGACCACUAGAAUUGGGACAAUGCCACUCCCAUAGUAUACUCAUUGCUGCUCAUUGCCCUCACUCUCCUUCUCUGUCACACAGUUUAUAUAGCCUGUGCCGGCCACUCCAACAGGCAUUGUGUAUACAUUCUUUUAUUUCAUUUUCAAAACAUCCUGAAAAAAUAUUAUCCUCCCUCCUUAGUAAGGUCGAAUGAAGAUUCUGGGGCAUUAAGUAAAAUACACUCUGAAACAAGUAGCACUCACUGCUGUGGGUUGGGUCAGCAUGCUUCCCUGUCUCUAUUUUUAUAAAGUAAGGUAACACAUUGUGUUUAAUCAAAUGACACAAAAAGUAAGCCUCCACUGAAGCAGGUUUCGGCUUUAUAAUGAUGGGAAAGUAUAUACUUUCAAUAGACAUCAUGCUUAAAGUUUGAGUUUUGACCUUUCCCUGAGUAUUAUAUGCUAGCAAAGAGUAUUAUACGCUCUCCCAGCACUGUCCACAGCUCUGAGCUUCAGCUUCUUGUCACCUGCACCAUCACCAGGAGACGCUGCUAUUCUGCAGUUGACUGUGCUAUGAAUGGCUGAGGUAAAUGCACUUUCACUUUAGUGAGAUUCUUUUCAACUCACAAUAGGUUUAUCAGAAUAUAUCCCCAUUGUAAAGAGAGGAGCAUUUGUAUUACAUAAAAAUGAGCAUAUUAGCCGGGCGUUGGUGGCGCACGCCUUUAAUCCCAGCACUCGGGAGGCAGAGACAGGUGGAUCUCUGUGAGUUCAAGGCCAGCCUGGCCUCCAAAGCGAGUGCCAGGAUAGGCUCCAAAGCUACACAGAGAAACCCUGUCUUGAAAAAACCAAAAAACGAAGGGCAUAUUAAAUAUGCUAUACAGUUAUAUAUCAUCAUUUAUAUAUACUCUUGCUUAUGCAUAUAAAUAUGUGUUAUAUAUUGUUAUUCAUAUGCAUAAUCAAUAAUGUACAACUUGGUUAUAAGUCAUAUAAGCAUAAAUAUAUUUUAUUAGAAAAUUAUAUAACUGUAUUAGUCAGACUUUUAGCUGUUUCUUAAAAAUAUUUGAGAUAAAAAUUAUUAAAAUAUUUGCUCAGCUCAUUGUUCCACAGCUUUCAGUCUAUAGCUGGUUGCCCCAUAACUCAAGUCAAACAUCAUGAUACUUGAGGCAUGAAAUGAUGAAAGUUUCUUUGUCCUCAUGGUUAACAGUGAUCAAAGAUGUAAAAUGGACCCUGGGAACCAGACAUAACUUUCAAAAUCUCAGUUGCUAUUUCCUCCAAGUAGGCUCUACCCUGUGAAGUUUCCACCACCUCCAAAAAUAUCUUCACCUGCUGGAGACCAAGAAUUUAAUUCCAGUCUGUGAUGAACAUUUCAUAUAUGAGCCAUAUCAGUAACAUAACAGAGCACAUUAUAUAUGCAUUCCAUAUUAUAGACUUACAUUCUCAAUAACACACCUAAUUGUAAAGACUUGAGAUUCCAACUGAUUUUCAUGAAUAUAAUUGCAACAGAUAAUUACAAGUCAAUGUUCUGUAAUCACAUAUUUUAUAUUCAAAAUACCCUUGGCACCAAAGCCAUAGAGUACCUGCACUAAUGAGUCUAAUGACAAGAGCUAUUUUCAGGCUUCUGAACAGUCUAAUGGUGGCAACCUUGACUGUUACACUAUCUUAUAAGAAUUGUGACUGUUCAUUUCAGUCAACAGCAAGUGUGAAAAUACUUUGUUAAACCAGUUUGUUUGUUUAUACAGAAUACUUUAAAAAGAUAUUGUUUAGCAAUUAGUCCUUUGUUGUAUAUAAUGUAGCAAAGUAUUAAUAGCAUGAAAGUACAAUGGUAAAGCAAAAUAUAUCGCUACUUUCUGAUUCUAACAGAGAGUUACUGGUACACUACACAGGUUGCUGUCUGUGCUACAUUAGGCGUUAAAUAGUUUCUACUAACCCAAGUUACAUAAAUCUAUAUGGCUUGAAUUAUCCUGUGACUGUAUUAAAGUAGAAACUGCAGUCUUUAAUAAGUAACCUUCACACUCUUAAUUUUAUGUAUUAUAAGCAUUUGGUCUAUAAAUAGAAGCAUAUAGUUUCUUCACAGACCAUUUAAUUCGUUUUCAAAGCAAAUGAGUUUAACUGGGUAUUUUGCCUCUAUAUGCGUGCUUCUGUAGGAUUAAAGUGGAUGGUAUUAGUGUUGAGGGUAUAGCUCAGGGCUAGAGCACUCAUGUGGUCUCCUGUGCCAGUUCAUUCAAGGGUACUUCCCAUUUUCUCUUCCAAGAGAUUUUUUAUGGCUGGAUUUAUGUUGAGUUUUUUUAUCCAUUUGGACUUAAGUUUUGUGGAUGGAUAUAUCUGUAAUCUUCUACAUGUCCACAUGCAGUUAUGCCAGCACCAUUUGUUGAAGAUGCUUUCUUUUUUUCAUUGUAUAGUUUUAGCUUCUUUGUCAAAGCUCAGGUGUUCAUGGGUGUGUGGGUUAAUAUCAGGGUCUUCAAUUUGAUUCCAUUGGUCUACCUGUCUAUUUUGUGCUAAUACCAAGCUGUGUACUUUGUAUCCAUUCUGUUAGCCUGUGUCUUUUUAGAGGUGACUUAACACCAUUGAUAUUGAGGGAUAUUAAUGACCAUUGAUUGUUGAUUCUUGUUUGUUUUUGGUGGUGUUAUUGUGUGUGAGUUUUUUCCCUAUUUCUGGCUUUUGGUAAAAUUAGAUUAUCUAUUGCCUAUCUUUUGUGAGGUUGGAGUUUUCCUUCCAGAACUUUCUGUAGGGCUGGAUUUGUGGAUAUGUAUUGUGUAAAUCUGGCUUUGUUAUGGAAUAUCUUGUUUUCUCCAUGUAUAGUGGUUGAGAGCUUUUCUGGGAAUAGUAUUCUGGGCUGGCAUCCUGGUCUCUUAGUGUUUAUAGAACAUCUAUCCAGGACCUUCUGGCUUUCAGAGUUUCCAUGGAGAAGUCAGGUGUAAUUCUGAUAGGUCUGCCUUUAUAGGUUACUUGGCCUUUUUCCUUCUCUGCUCUUAAUAUUCUUUCUUUAUUAUGUAUGUUUGAUGUUUUGAUUAUUUAUGUGGUGAGGGGACUAUUUUUGGUCCAGUCUAUUUGGUGUUCUAUAAGAUUCUUAUAUUUUCAAAGGCAUACCCUUCUUCAGGUUGAGAAAGUUUUCUUCUAUGAUUUUGUUGAAUAUGUUUUCUGCACCUUUGAGCUGGGCUUCUUUGCCUUCUUCUAUACCUAUUAUUCUUAGGUUUGGUCUUUUCACGGUGUCCCAUAUUUCCUGGAUAUUUUGUAUUAAGGAUUUGUUGGUUUUAAAUUUUUCUUUGGUCAAUGAAUAUAUUUCCUCCAGCUUAUCUUUGGCACCUGAGAUUCUCUCUUCCAUCUCUUGUAUUCUGUUGGUUAUGCUUGCAUCUGUGGUUCCUGAUUGUUUACCCAGCUUUUCUAUUUCCAGAAUUCCCUCAGUUUGUGUUUUCUUUAUUGUCUUUAUUUCAGUUUUCAGGACUUGAACUGUUUGAAUUGUUUCCUUCACUUGUUUGAUUGUUUCUUCUUGGCUUUCCUUGCUUUCUUUAAGAGUUGUUGAUUUCUUGCAUUUUCUGGUUUGCUUUUUUCCAUUCUUUAAGGGAUUUUCUCAUAUCCUCUUUGAGGGCCUCUAUCAUUUCAUGAAGUUGUUUUUAAGGCCAUUCUCUUCUGCUUCACCUGUAUUGGGGUGUUCAGGUCUUGCUGGUGUAGAAUCCCUAGACUCUGGUGGUGUCAUAUAAGUCUUUCUGUUGUUGGGUGUGUUGUUAUACUGUUGUCUUCCCAUCUCUUCUUCCAGUGGAUACAGAUGGGGUCUCUCCCUCUCCUGAUGGGUAUGGGUAUCCUCUCUUCUCUCCCAGAGGGUGCAGGGGCAAGACAGGAAUGGUAGUCUAUGCUGGCUGCUUUAUAGUGCCUCCAGGUCCCUCUGGGGGAUUCGGUGGCAGGAAGCUAGCUGAAUCUUGAAGUAGAUCAAUUCCCAACUUUCUGAAGAACUGCCAUAUUGAUUUCCAUAGUGGCUUUAUACAUUUGCACUCUCAUCAGCAAUGGAGGAGCGUGUCUCUUAUUCCACUCUUGGGAAUAUACCCAAAGAACCCUACCACAAGGACACUUGCUCAACCAUGUGCAUUGUUGUCCUAUUUUAAUAGCCAGAAACUGGAAAUAGUCUAGAUAUCCCUCAACAGAAGAAUGGACUUUGUAAAAGCAUAGUACAUGUGCACAAUGGAGUGUUGCUCAGCUCUUUAAAAACAAUAACAUCAUGAAAUUUUCAGGCAAAUGGGUGUAACUAGAAAAAAAAUCAUCCUGAGUGAGGAAUCUUAGUCCCAGAAAGAUAAAUAUAGUAUGUAUCUUAGUCAAUGUUCUAUUGCUAUGAAGAGACACCAUGUGGCAACUCUUAUAAAGGAAAACAUUAAAUUGGGGCUGGCUUACAAUUUUAGAGCUUUAGUGGAUUGUCAGCAUGGCAGGAGGCAUGGCAGCACGCAGAGAGAUAUGGUGCUGGAGGAUCUGAGAGUUCUAAAUCUGUAUCUGAAGGCAGAAGAAAUAAGAGAGGGAGAGCUACUGGGCCUGGCUUGGGCUUCUGAAAACCUAAAGCAUGCCCCCAAUAACACACUUCCUCCAACAAGAUCACAUUUACUACAACAAAGCUGCACCUCCUAAUCCCUGUCAAGCAGCAUUACUCCCUAAUGACCAAGCACUUAAAUAUAUGAGUCAAUGGGUGUCACUCCUAUUCAAACCUCCACAGUGUGUAUUCACCUAUGUAUGGAUAUUAACAGUUAAAUGAAUAAUAACCAACACAUGAUCUGUAGACAGAGAGAGGAUAGGUAUAGAAGAAGGGACUAGGAGUGAUACAUGGAUCUCCCUAGGAAGGAGUAGAAAAUAGAAUAGGUAUUAUUGGUGGGAGGGUGGGAAAAGGAGGAUCAGGUAGGGAGGGAGAGAGGAAAUAUGAUUAAGGAAGGGAAUUCUUGGAGAGACAACUAGAAUUAAGGGGCAUUUGAGAGAUAUGGAAACAUAGUGCUGUGGAAACUUUCUAAAAUAAUGUGAAGGGGCUCCUAAUGAAGUUUCCUAAUACUGGAGGAGAUGGAGUCCCAACUGGCAUCUCUUGUUACCAAAUGAAGCUUCCAGAACUGGGACUGUGUUGCUAUCAAUUGAGUUGUUGGUGAAGGGGAAUCCAUAGAAAUCCACACACAACCCAGGCAAUUGCUAAGAGGAUUGGUUGCUCUCUUCAAACUGACAGCAAGGCCCUAUUGCUGAGGAAACACCUGAACAACUCAUUGAACAUGGAAAAGUUGAGCUAGCCUGUACAUAAAGCCUUCAGUUCUAUGUUCUAGUGUCUUUGAUGUGGGGAGAUACUCUGCAGGUUACCAAAAGAAACAUAAACACUAACCCAACCACAAAACCUUUGACCAACAAUCUGUCCUACCUGCAAGAUAUGUUAGGACAGUGGUAGCACAAACCUUGUGAGAAUAACCAACCAAUAAAUGUCUGAUUUAACUUAAAGCCCACUCCACUAAAUGGAACACAUUGCUAGAGUGACCCAGAACCAGAGAUUAGAAUAGCCCAGAGACCAAACACUACUGCUCUUAAAAAGAAAAUGGCAAUAAAAUGACACCUAAUGGUAUGAUGUAUUCAUAGAUGAGUGUUUUACCCAGUCAUCAUCAGAGAACCUUACUCCUGCAGUAGAUGGGAACAGAUGUUUAGAUCCACAGCCAGACAUUACACACACACACACACACACACACACACACACACACACACACACACAAUGCUUAGUCUAAUGAAAUGUUGUAUUGAAGUAAGAAAAACUGGAAGAACUUCUUUUUAAGAGAAAUAUUUUGUUGUCCGCAUAAAUCUAUAAUCCCAUCACCCAGGGGCUGAACAAAAGGAUCACCAUGAGUUUCACGCUAGCCUGGGUUAUGCAUCAAGUCUCUCUCAUGAAAGGAAGGAAGAAAGGAAGGAAAGAAGGGAGGGAGAGAGGAAGGAAUUUUAAGGAUUAAAAUAAUAAUAAAAAAUUAGUCAGGCAUGCACCAGCACAUUUGUGUUUGAUAAAUCUGUCUUUAUUUCCUACAACAAAUGAAAAGGAUACAGAAUUAACAGCUUGAAAUGGCCACUGCACAAGCUGCUGCCUGGAUAUGCCUCUUUAAGCUGAGAACAUAACUUUCCAGAAAUGAACUCUAUUUUUCUUAUCUGUAUCAUUCCUCUAUAGUCUGGUGUGUCUAGCAGCAAUUUCAAACAGAAAUGUCAUUUUUUUUUUGCAUGGCUUUUUGGCAGAGCAACAGUUUUACUAGGCCAACCAACAAGUGAUACAGGGCAAAGAGUCUGAGAAAAGAAAACUAAAGAGCUAGGCAGAUAGCUAUUGUGAAGCCAAGUUAACAGUGGGUGACAAAAAAUGUGUAUAUAAUACCAGGGUAGGCAUAAGAAGAUAUGCAGUUUGCUAAUAGGUGUGAAUAUAACAUAAAUGCUCGAAGCAAAAGGUGUAAAGUAAGAUGAAAGAUAAAUUAGUCACAUUGCACAGCUGUGGUUCCUGAAAGGACUUGGUGAGAGCCUCACCAAGAAGACUAAGUACAAAAACAGCACACCCCCAAAAUGGAAGAAUUACCACAACAAUUACAAGUAAUCAAAGCCCCUAAGAUGACAAGACCACAUGUCCCUGUUGAGUUAUGGCUGAGGACAGCCUGGAAUUCAAAUUAACAGUUUUGAUACUUAGAAUUCUUCUGUGUUUGACAUCGAGUUGAAGUAAGAAGAACUACAGUUUGCCUUUUAUUCCCAAGAGCUAGACAGUAUGCCUAAGAGGGAAGAUAGAGCAUAAUUUGUCAUCUGAAAGUAGUGUGGGGUAGAGGUAGGGGACUGAUGGAAAAAUCCUUCAAAUAUUUAAGGAUUUUCUGUUCCCUAGUUUAAAAUUGCCCUGUAAUUUUCAUUAUUAACCAAGUUAUUUUACAGUUGCUUAUUGUUGUAGGUGAAGAAUAGCUUGCUGUCUUUUAUUAGACUCUUCCAUCUUUAGUCUACCCCAUCUGUAUUUUAUCUUCUCUACUUCUUCACUGCAGCUGUUGUAAUAACAAUAAUAAUAACAGUCUGAUCAUCAUAAAUGAUUUCUGAUGAAAAGUAAAACCACAAAAUGGGUUUAAUUAACAAUCUUGAGUUCCUCAAGAAUCAAACACUUGCUUCUUCAGAAGCCCUGGGCGAUAACCCAAUAUCCUUGAGCACUUUGUGCCUGUGUGCUCAUCCUAGCUUCCACAUUUCCUGCUGGUUGCAAGGCUGGGAGAACUCUCAUUGCUUUUCUUCUCCAGGAAUCCAUCUAUUCUGUUUUCCCCCAUCAGCAUCUCUUUCUGUGGAGAUCAGAAUUGUUACACCUUCCCAUUAGUUUUCUGAAGAUCUGUGAGGAAAUUCUAGAAUAUUAUAAGGCAUAACUGGGCUGCUUAAGGUUCUAUUUCUUUCUAUUUAAUGCACCAUAAAAAUAGGAGGAAGACCUGUGUAAAGUGGAAAUUGAUGAUUUAAAAUUCCCAUGUGAUUUUGUUCAUUUCAGAAUAAAGUCCAAAUUCCCCCCACCCCACCCCAGAGCUGUAGUCUGGCCAUUGCCUGCAUUGUUCAGGCUUUCCACCUCCAAGAUAAUAUACCAGCAGUGCAGAAAGGGCUCGUUGCUCAGACAGUGAGGCGUGAUUCUCUCCUUACAGACUCCACUGUGCCAAACACCUCAUAGGCAUGCAAUUUCAGGGCCUGCUCCCCAGGACCUUUCCUGUUCUAUGCUUUCCUCUCUGUCAGUAGAGUGGGUAAGGACAGGAGGUGACUGCUUUGCCUAUUCCCUAGAUGUCUAUUACCUGAGCAUAACACCACCAUUGCAUUUUCAUUAUUUGCAUAUAUAUCAUUCUUUACUACUACAUCAUGACUAGGCAUGCAGGGACUUCCAGAACCUCCUAUUGUUAGAUCCAAACCUUUAGCAACUAGCCUAAUGUAUAGCAUAUAAUGAAUAUUUCCUCAAUGAAACAUUAAAUAUAUUGCAUGUAGGCUCAUGUGAAACAUUCAGAUUUGAGGUCCAACUCAGUUUUGCUAAGGGCAUCUCCAUAUAUCUAUGUUCUUCAUUCCAAGUCUCACAGUUCCUCGUCUGAACUUCUAUGGCCCUAUUUUAUGAGGAGUUGCUCUGUUUUGUUUGUUUUUGUAUAUUAUUUUGCUUCUGCUUAGGGAUUUCUCUUGUUCUUAUCAUUUGAAUUUCACUCAAACCUUGCCUAUUUAUACUUUUUAUACUUUAUUUUGGCCUUUCUAAAUCUUAUAUAGAUAGAAUAUGAUUAGUUCAUUUUAAAAAAAUAGGCAACUUAGAAAUAACCUUGAUUUUAGAAUAUAGUGAUCUAUGGAGUUUCAAAUUUCUGUACUUUUAAAGCCAAGUGUUUGUCAACUUCUUUCCCACAAUCACAAAUGUCCCUAUCUUUUUAUCCUGAAAUUAAGGUACACAGACAAAUAACACACCCAAGGAAAGAACCUUUUGACUGUCUAUAAAGUACUUCACUAAAUGUCACUUGCUCUAGUUACAGGAUUAAUGCAGAAGAUGAUUGUCUAUAGGGUACGUUUAAAUAUCUCUGAGUAUGACCCUUCACUGUUUAAAGGCUCAAGGCAAAGACUAUGUAUAAAGUACCCUGUAAGAAAAAAACAGCACACCAAUCAAGUGGAAGCAAGCUUUGAGGCACAAAUAAUAUAAUCAUGUAACAUCUUUAUAUUGUGAGUGUGUGUGUGUGUGUGUGUG